GGUCCAUGACAUUGAAGGCAUGCUCCGAUACAGUGGAUCACAAUUGUUAACGUAUUAAUGUAAGGGUAAUGUUUCUCGUUCUAGUAUAGUUGUAUAUGUAAUGUUCUAGAAGGUAUUGACUCAUGAAUGAACUGACUCAUUGUAUGAUAUCGCGUUCUAGUAACGGUUCUAGUAUCUUCCUAAACUACCCAUAUGGUAGUUUACUAGCAGUUUAACUGGUACGUAUGGUCAUGGAUGUAUACCCUUACUAACUAAGGGCAUGGGAUGAACUGGAAAGACCUUUUAUGACUAUAUAUGUACACAUGAUAUAUAACUAAUAUUUAAAUGACUUUCGGACGAAUACCCAAUAUCCCACCAGACCACAUCUCAAGGCGCGAAAAGGAAAUAGGGUGGAUAGCCUUCCUAAGUCUUUUAAACAUUUCUUAUAUAACUAUACAUAUAGAGGCAUGCAAUUUAUAAUAUAAAAGCNAGUCUUUUAAACAUUUCUUAUAUAACUAUACAUAUAGAGGCAUGGAAUUUAUAAUAUAAAAGUAUAAAUGAAUUUUGUAAAACAUUUGAAACAUAAAUAUUAUUUUAAGAAAAGAUCGACUUGAUGUCGAUCUAUAAAACAAUUUGAAGGCAUAAGUAUGAUAAAAACAGUUUUGAGUAUAAGGAAACAUUUGAUUGAAACACAGUUGUAAAUAAGUUUGAAAGGUAAUGCACCGGGUAAGAUGUAUAGUGUAAUAAGUAGUUUAAAACAUAUAAAAUGUUUAUAAAAAUCAUUUAAAGGAAACUGUUUUGUAAGACGGCUAAUGAGUAGCCAAUUCUUUUGAAUGCUGUAUAUUAAUCACAUGUGAUUGAUGUAAUAACUAGCGUAAUUCUACUUAUUAAUCGCAUGCGAUUGAUAUAAUCCUAGCAUGAUUCUACUUGUAUUCCCCCCCAUGAAACAUUUAAAAGUAGUUUAAAACAUUAGUUAAGGGGGUAUGAACUCACUUGGAAGUUUGAAGAUAGCGAGAUGGAAAACCGGGCAGAGUUUCGUCUCGGGAAACGGAUUUUUCUCGGGAUUCUCGGGCAUCUCGGGAGUAAAAUCGACCUUCGGGACUUGCACAAAAUGACAAGGGCUUCGGGGUAGUGCGAGCACGGAAAACGAGGCAAAACGCAAGAAAAAGGAGAGUGAAUGAGCAAUUUUUCCGGAAUCCCUCGCACCCCUUUUAUAGGGGGCUGGAAGGCCCACGUACGCGGGGCGUACUCCCGUACGCGGCGCGUACGGGACGUCACUGCUGACCGCAUCCUCGGCUGCAACGCGCUUCAGACGGGACGGGGGGUAGGCUCGCAUAGG
rnacentral:lncRNA from 1 species